rnacentral:lncRNA from 1 species
AACACCGAACGCCUUGCCAAGAGGUAAACUUGGUAGUUAUCUUUUUUUCUUUCAAUUAUUUAAAAUAGUUUGCUUAGUUAAUCAGGUUCACAUCAUCUUGAAAAGAAAAUAAAAAUGUUGAAGAUAGUAAGCCCCAUGUGAGUAUGCUCAUGGCAUAAAACCCAUAAGUACAUUCACUGUGGUGGCAUAAAAAUGAAAUAAAUAUAUUCCUGUCCUAUAAAAAUAAAAUUAUAAGAAUAAAAUUAUGAUCCUACUAAUGAGUAACAUUUAUUGAGGAGGCUCAACAUGAUAAAGGCUAGAUAUUUAUGCUAACACUUAACUAGUUUCACAAAGCUUUGUUGUUUAUUUGAGCUCCAUAGAAUUCAAGGAUCAAAGAAGACUAGCAGACGAUGGACAUCCUAAUCGCUGUCAGGGUGCUGCCGACAUACCUCCGCCACCUGCUGGCUACAUCAGAAGAAAUUACGUCAAAAUCCAGCUUGGGGGAGAGCACCCCCAUUUAUCCAGCUAAGUAUUCUACUCAUGUUUAUACUUUACUCUAAUAAUAAAAAAGAUGCACAAUCAUAAAAACCCAAAUAAAGAUUUUAUGCUUAUAUAUAUAUCUUUGCUUAGUUUGCUAAAUAAAUAAAUAAAUAAAAUUUGCUAUGAACCCUCAUGAUAAGCUCUCACAUGGAAAGAUGAAUAGUUGCUCUGCCAUGACUAGUUCUCAAAAUUGAAAUCUCUCUCAAGUUUAGGCAUCACUGUUAUUAAUUAAGAUUUGCUCUAAACCUGAACUUGUGGGAAGAGUACUUGAUCUAAAGUCUAAGUCGUUAACGAAUAUGAUAUGGGAAGGUUGAGCUGCUGUUUAUCUGUUCCUAGAGAUGCUAGAAUUCUAGAGAAUUUUAUCUUUGAAAAUCUUUAAAAUAUUACAUGAUGAGUUCCCAUAUGAUGAGAGUUUAAAUUCCUACCACAGCCAUAUAUACAUGCUUGCUAGACUUUGAGCCACACAUUUACUUUUUACUGCUUAUGAGCAUUGAGUGUGGUCAAGCUGUGUAGACCCUUAGGAGCUUGUCAUGUGGUUAAGUCAAGAUUCACUUGCACGUUCACACAUACAUGCUGCUUCUACUCUGGAAGUACGCAUCCACACACAUCCACUCAUUUCCAUCUCCAGAGCCACCUAAAAAUAUUCUACUCCUAAUCCGGGAGAGAAUAGCCAAAAACAUUUCUGUUUUACCCCUGUGAAAUAAAUGCUCAAGUUAUCUUGGUUACUACCACUUGCUAUAUUAUUUCAGGAGAUGAGUGCUCUUAAAAAAAGAGAGAGAGAGAAAAAAAGAAAGAAUACGAGGAAAUAAAAAGGGGCAAGUGCCCGAAACCUCGAAAGAAAAGAAAAAGUGAGACGAGAGGUAAAAAUGGACAAGUGUCCAACAGUAGAAUUAGGGGUACAAGAUACCCACCUGAGAGAAAAAAAAGAAAAUAUAGAGCAUCUCAUUCUCCUCAAAAAGUUUCAAAAGAGCAAGAAAGGUAUGUAUCCCCUCAAAAGAGCAAAAGUAGAAUUAGACUUUCACCAUUGUUAUCACCAUCAUCACCAUACACCAUUCAUUCGCCACGCAUGCACAUCUUGAUUUGACUGAUUGACUUGUUCUUCUGGAUCCAUGGUUUGACUAUGCAAUAAAUGUCUUGUAAGUAUGUAUUAGCUGUCUCCCACCUAUGAGCUCCAGAUAUCAAAACCUUAUUAGAGUAGGGUGAGAGAGAAGGCAAUGCCACUAUGCCCCAUACCAAAAAUACUACAUACUUUGAGAGAAGGCAUAUACCAUUACUGCCUUGGUAAGGAUCCAGAAAUACCACAAAAGAGAGACUUGAGAGAGUCAUACAAGGAAUCUCUGAGUUUUGUUUGAAAAUCUGCAAAAACUCCAGAGCUAUAGCUGAUCAAGAAUAAGAGACAUGGUGCUUGACUAGACCGUUCUAUCUUUUAACUACUCAAGACAGAAGUGACGGUUACAAGUCCCAUGGUGAAAGGUAAAUGAGUAAGUUUUAAGUCUUAACAGUUUACUCUAACCAGAGAUGAGAUCUUGUUUAAACGCAUGUGUAUCUUUAAGUUAUGAAACCACUGCAGAAACUCUUGAGUUCAUCUUUGCUCAGUGACGAGCAAAGGUUAAGCUUGGGGGAGCUUGUUGACGGUCCUUAAUGCUCACAAUUAACCAUCAACUAAUCAUAGAAAAGGAUCCAAAUACAACCAACACCUAGACUUAGGGUUUUAUCUAACAGAAUUCCACAAGUUUUGGUGUUUGUCUAUUUCUGCAGGGGGUUAUCAGGAAAUACGGAAGAAAGGCCCACACGUCGGGUUUACAUAGAGAUAUUAACGUGCCGCACAAUUAUCUACCAUCUAGAAGAGUCCAGAAGCCACGGGAGCGAACGGGAGACGUAACGGAGCCGGGCACUGGGCGCCCGCCCUCCCUUACUGGGCGCCCGCCCUCCCUUACUGGGCGCCCGCCCUCCCCCCUGGACCAAUCAGGGUGAAGUUCGGGGAUCAUGCUCCACCGACCUAAUAUUUCAAGGAAAACCACACGAUCAAUGUCGGUUUGAUCCGACGGCCCAGAUUCACUUGAAGGGACUAUAAAACCAGACCCCCUGGCCCCUGGAGAUCAUACCUCUUCUACAGAAUCAAAGCUAGGGUUUCAAUUCUUCAUCCAAGUAGAGAGGAUCCCUCUAGUUCUUCUAGUUCUACCUCUAGUUCAUCUAGAUCUAGUUCUAGUUCAUCUAGUUCUAGUUAUAGUUCCUCUAGUUCUAGUUCUAGUUAGUUCUAGUUGUAAUCUAGAAAAUAGGGAGAGAGAAGAGGAGAGCGGAGGAGGAGCCGGAUUUGUCGGAUCUUCCUCAACAUUGUACUUUUGCAGCAACUGGUUCGUUCUUCAUCGUUCUCCAGGUUCUUCAAUUCAUAAUUCCUGAGUUCUCUAAUUACUUUUAUUUACAUUCAAGUUAUUUAUUGGAUUCCCGCUUGCAUCAAGUGCUCUAGUCUUUAUAACGCUAGAGUAGUAAUUAAUAGAUUAGACGUGGUGUUUAGUCUUGCAAUUACCUGGAAUUGCACCCAAUCCUGCGGAUUGUUGUGGUAGCCUUAGUGUAGUGACAGCCCUAACGGUCGACGUAUUCCACCUCGUUCGGAUCGGUGUUUGUAGGACCGUAGUUAGACCUUCCUAGCCCCCUUCUCAUCUCUUUCUGUGGUUAGUGCUCUGAUGUCCCGAUAUAGACAAUCUUGAAGUAAUUCUUGAUUCUUAGAUCAACUAGAGAACUCUCAGGAAACUUCCUCUCUUCCCACCAAAAAUAAUUAUAUAGUUACCCUUGGGCGAUCUUGGAUCUUAAUUAGUACACUCACGUUCUCUGUGGAAAAUCGAUACUCUGGAAUACUCCCGGGUGAAGGCUACAUCGGUAUCCGUGCGCUUGCGGAUUUUUCUGUUUGCGUUUAAAAUACCCAACAGCGGAAACCCGUCUUCGCCUGAUUCUUCUUCACAGGCAGGCGAUACCGCUGGUUAGGAGUUGGAGCACGGAUCGGUGGCCUAGCUGCCACUGGAGCCUUGGAUUGAGAUGCUCCUGCCCCGGCCUCAAAAGCCCCCUUGCGAGUCUUGGUCGCAGUGUACACAGUGUUGUAGUUUUCUUGGGUAAGAGCAUCACUGACAAACUCAUUGAAAGUUGCACACUUAGUGCGGCCCAUGGUUUUCAGCAACUUGGGGCUCAAACCCCGCUUGAAGCUGGCAAUUUUCUUUGUCUCAGUGUUCACAAACUCAGGAGCAUACCUUGACAAGUGAUUGAAAGCAUGCAAGUACUCCUUCAGAGUUUUGUUGCCCUGAGUCAACUGCAUAAACUCAGUAUGCUUCAUCUCCAUGACACCAGGAGGAAUAAAAUGCCCCUUGAAAGCUUCACGGAAAAGAUUCCAGUCAAGCACAGUGUCGGCUGGAAGAGCUUCCUGAUACUGAUUCCACUAGAUGCCUGCUGGUCCCUGCAGUUGGUGAGCUGCAUACUCAGCCUUCAAACCCGCAGUCAGCCGAAGCAAGCGGAACUUUUGUUCCACCGUGUUCAGCCAUUCCUCGGCUUGAAGGGGUUCUUCCGCCUCUCUAAAAGGUGGGGGCUCAAUAUCCAUGAAAUCCUUGAAACUAUUGUACUGGUUAGGUGCUGGCUCUUCUUGUGCAAUACGACCACCCUGAUUUGCCAUCCGAUUGAUGGUCUCAGUGAGCAUCCUCUGGUUUUCUACCAUCAUUUGCAUCAGCUCAGCUAGAUUUGGUGGUGGAGGAGGGGGUGGGUUCAUGUUCGCACGUUGUUCCGCACCUCGAGUGCCGCGAGACAUCUGUAAAGACACAGUCAGUGAGCAUUGAUGAUGACAAGACUUGCUGUAGAAGAACUUAUAUUUAUGCCUGAAAGUAUUCAAGAGAAUAGCUUUACAGAAAAAGGCACAAUAAUUCAAUUCCACAAAACAACAUCACCAAUCCAACACAUGACAGAGAUAUCCGCAAUAGGCACCACAACGGAAAACAUCGUCAUAACAGAUCGAACAUGUUAAGGUUACACAUUGGGUCCAUAAAGUUAUGACACCAUCACAGUACAUGACAUGCGGCAAGAUCAAGGUUCCGGAUUACAUCAUGAUUACAAAAGCACCACUGCUACUGCCAAACUACAAAAGAUCCUCUCAUAACAACUACCCACUACUCACUACACUCCAUGCUCAUCGUCCGAGUCAGCGUCGAAGAUCGCCUCUCCAUCCUCAUCGCUAACUGGCUCAAGCUCCUCGUCCUCCACGUCCUCGUGCAAGGGUGGUGCAGCCGCUGCUGGUCCAUCUACCUCCAUACCAUCAUCAUCGGCCACAAUCACCUGAGGUCCCACCUCUAGAUACACGAGCAGAAGGCGAGGAAUAGGGAGUAACAAGUUGUUGAGACGGUGAAUCUCCACAAGACCAGCCUCAAUUUGAUCCCGCAUAUAGUUCUCCCGCUCAAGCGACUGAAUCCGGUGCAUCUCCCAAGCCCGGCGCCUGUUCUCUGACACACGGAGUGCAGUAUCCCUCUCACGAGUGACCUGCACCAAGCGCUCCUGCACUGUCUCCCUCUCUCGAGCUAACUGACUCAUCUGAUCCUGCUUAUGAUCUCUCUCCCUAAUAGCCUUCACCCACUGCUGCCUACGGUACUCUGCAAUGUCUUCCCAGUCAUUGCGGUCCUUCUGGGCUUGCUCCAGGAGCCUAGCUUGCUUGCGAAACUUGCGAGCACGCUUUUCAGCCUUCUGUUGCAUCUCCUGAGCCUGGCGAACAGCCACCAUCACCUGUGCAUAAGUGUCCUCUCGCUGACUGAACAGCUUGAGCACAGCCAUCAUAGCACUCAUAGCAGGACUAGAACUCUCAGCUCGCUCUCCCCUGCCUCGGACCAACGCACAACCAUCAGCCUGAUUCCACUCCGCUGCUGCUGGGUCAGCACGGGGAAUGGAGGCCGCUGGUCCUCCGGUCAGCUCAUCACCAAACCUCUGACAGAUAUUGAGCAGCAUAGCCUGGGCUGCAACCUGAGCUCCUUCCCAAGGAGUCUGCCCAUCUGAGUUACAGGUCCACCCUGUCCAUGUAGGCCUACCCCCAUGUGGAGGGACAACUCCCUGCACGGCAAACCACUGCAACUCUCCUGUCAUCUCCACCUCCCACCAAGAAUACUGAGGUGGCUCAGUAUACCCCACAGACUGUAGCACUCUCCAGAGUAAGGUAGGAGUGCCAAACUCGCUCAAGAAGGUGUCACUGGGGCGAGGUGAAGCGGGCACGUCCAUCUGUGGAAAGGAAUAGGAUUACCAUGGGCAGGGACGAAGCCAGAAAAAAAUUUAGGGGGGGCUGAACAAAAAUUUUACAUCAACUUAGCUCUACUAUUAUCCCUUGUAAUAAAAAAAUAUAUUAGUUUAAAGUAGUCUUAGAUUAAAAAUAUAGACCAAUAAUGAAAUUCACAAAAUAUAUCUAAAAAAUAAAUUUCUCAGCCCACCCUACUUUAUAAAUUUAUGUCUAAAAUUAGAAGAAAAACACUAGAAAUUUCACUAGGCCAGCAGCGGUAGGGGGGGCUGGAGCCCCCCUAGCCCCACCGCUGGCUUCGUGCCUGACCAUGGGUAAGAGGAGAUUAAUUUUAAGCAACAUUUAUUUAAUUAAAAGGGAUGACAUGGUAAGGGAAGGAGUAGACAGAAUGUAUGUAUGAAUGCGACAUGAUGCAUGCACGAACCGUACGUCCUCACAAACUUAGAUAAUUAAUAUUCUAACGCAUAUACGGUGGCAUACAUUCGUCUCUCGAUACGAUAACUAGCGAUUUACACGUGCGCUUUUAGAGUACCUGCAGAAAACUUCAUUGCAACCCAACAGUUCCCAAAAUAUCACUCAAGAAAGCAGUAAACUAAGUGCACAUUGCUGGGACAUGCCCAACAUGCACAAACAAUGACACCACAGCUACCCGAAAAAUUAAAUGCUCCCCAAUUAAGUUUCUUUCGUGGUUCCAUGGUUUUGACAUGUAACCACUCCAGAAAAUCACCGCGAACACUCCUCUAGACCACUGUUUGGACGAUCAUGCUCUCACAGCUCACACUUACCAGAGCGUAGGUGCGACGUUGCAUAAUUUAAAUCUAGCGACAUAUGUGGCUAGUUCACAUAUGAAGGCUACCUCCACCAUUAGACCACAGGGUAGCAUAGUGCGGUCAUCACACAUCCAUACCUGAGUACUGCCGGAGAUGCAUAAAAUAAAACCCUCCAAGUCAGUACUUAAAUAGCCACCUAUAGUCCUUAUAUGGGCAAGGAGGAUUCGACCACUGGCAUAAUUAAGUGUUGAUUUUUAAAUUUUUAUUUAAAAACCCUUUUGUUUUUAAAUACACAAACGCUGCAUUUAUAAUGUUGAACUUGCUCCGAUGCCAGCUGUCACAGAACCGACCAAAUUAUAAGAGUUCAAGUGUAGAAACGAUCGACAAGCAAUCAAGUUUCCAAACUUGAGCCCAUAUAAUCCCGGUAGUCAACUGAAAUCACAAAGGACUUCAAACCAACUUGCAACAAACCAAGAUCUUAAUAGCUCAGCACAACACAGCGAAUGUUACAUAGUCAUUCAUUGCCGUCGAAGCGGCACCACAUCGGAGUUACUUAGUUAUUACAACACAUGUUUGUAGUAGCGGAAGCAAAAUAGUUUACACACACUUUCCAAAGUUCAGUUCAUAAGUUCUUGUUAUAGCCAGAGUCGUACACCAUCCAUCCAAAAGCAGCAGGUACGAGUUGGUUAGAGAACCGUGCCCAACGGUUAGUCCUCAUCCCCAGCGGGAUGGAGACAGGUCUUGCAGAAGCCAUCAUAAAAGAUAUCAUCUGCAACAGGUGGGAAUAAACCCUGAGUACGAGAAUGUACUCAGCUAGACUUACCCAUCUAGUAAAACAUAAAAGACACCAAGGAUCAUGCAAGGCUAAAAUCAAGUGGAGCUGGUUGACUCAACAUUUACCAAAAGCUUAAAUUAUAACUACAAUGUUGUGAGAGCGUCAUAUUAAUCAUCAUUAGCCUACCAUAAGAUUAGCACCUGUACUAAAGCACUUCACUUGACUAUUACAAGCAAUAAUAACCAUAUCAAAUUCAUCAUAUGUUCUCCUUGCUAUCAUCAUUAUCACGAACCAAGUUCAUUAGUGAAUCCUACGUUUGCCGCUGCUCUGUCAAGUUCUCACUAACCGGGAGAGACGGCGAUUCGAAUCGAAUUCAUAUCCAGCUGGAGGGGUAUUCCUAGCACUCACCCAAGCAUCCCCCGUCGGAGAGCCAACGUGUCACCUUUGGUAUGACUUAGGAAUCACGGUUCCGAUCAGCGCCGCACUCCCAGGGCUACCACUCUGCUAGGUGUUGACGGUCCUUAAGUAUCAAAUUUAAUUAUCAAAUAAACAAAGAAAAGGAUCCAAAUGAAAUCAACAUCUAGACUUAGGGUUUUAUCUGACAGAAUUCCACGAGUUUUGGUGUUUGUCUAUUUCUGCAGGGGGUUAUCAGGAAAUACGGAAGAAGAAAGGCCCACACGUCGGGAUUACAUAGAGAUAUUAAUGUGCCGCACAAUUAUCUUACAUCUAGAAGACUCCAGAAGCCACGGGAAGGAAGCGGAGGCCGAACGGGGCCAGAGGCAGGGUGCCCGCCCUGUUUCCCUGGGUGCCCGCCCCCUCUCUAAGUCCAAACAGGACUCUGUUUCGUGGGAGAUCUCCACCGACCUAAAGGAUCAAGGAUAACCGUUCAAUCAAUGUCGGUUUGACCCAACGGCCCAUAUUCACUUGAAGGGACUAUAAAACUAGACCCCCUGGCCCCUGGAGGAGAGAGCCUCUCAACCCUAAUUCAUUAUUCCUCAAGGGAGAAGUAUUGAGCUACCACAUCAAUUAGAUAUCUAGAUUAGCAUAGCUACAUAGGAUUAGAACUAGAAGGAGUCAAUCUUCGAUUGGUUUCUGGAUCUGUCAAGAGGAUUCUUGGUAAUUCUCUAAUUGUGCUUCUAAUUGUUCUUCUAAUAAUCUUUUUUCUUCAAUAUUAUGAAUAUGACUUUGUUCUACUUCAAUAUAUUACUUAUGACUUUGCUCUACUUGUUUAUAUUCAAGAUUAUAUUAUUCUUAGUUUAUCAUAGUUAUGUACUUGGCUUAGUUAGAUUGGAUCUAUAUACAUGCUUAGGAUCGUAUAGCAUUUAUCCAUCGGAUCCAUGGGUAAAUGAUAGAUAUUGUGUAGGCGUGGUGCUUAUACCGUAUUUAUCUGCGAUUGUACCCAAUAUGCUAGAUCGUGGGGUAGUUCGUGAUAGUGACAGCUUCAUUGAUUCUUGUAUAGUCCCCCUCUCGUGUAUUGGGCUGGCAGAGCAAUAUUAUUACAGGGGAGUGAUUGCUAUGUUUCUCAUUUACCUUGCUAAUAUCACUAUGCAUGGGCGUAGUCUUGUCUCGCAAUGAUUGCUAAGUAUGCUUGCACUAACUAUGAUAAUGCUAGACUAUAUAGUUGAGAAUAACUUAGGAAAUAUUCUUGUAGUUCGUUCUAAUACCCUGCUAAUGACUUUCUAGAGUAUCUAAUUGAGGUGUUUAUCAUAUUUAUAUGUGGCUGAUCAGAUUAAAUAUCUUUGUCCCUAUUCAUUACUUCAUAUAUCUUUUAUGUGACACUUAUCCCUGUAUGAAAGAGUUAGAUAAAUGUUCUCAAUUAUACAUGCAAUGAUAGAUACUCAAUCUCAUAUUCUAUUCUGUAAUCAAUAUUGAUGAUUGCUAAUCCCUUCCCAGUGGUAAAAAUAUAAAUAACGAUACCUGGAAUACUUCCCGGUUAAAAUGCUACAUCGGUAUUAAUCUGUGCGCUUGCAGAUCCCAUUCAUUAUUUAUUUAGAAGAGCAAUUGCAUAUUUCAAUACUGCGUCUCUCAUGUCAUGCUGGGGAUGACAACUUGGCUUAAGUGGUAUGAGGGAUAGGUUUGGCAUUUUUGGCACCGUUACUAGAAUUAGAAAACUGUCUACUUUUGGUAAUGAUGUUAAGAAUACCCAACAAGCAUUUUUUGGCGCCGUUGCCGGGGAAGGUUGAUUACUAAUGAGGAAUGAAUAAAGGAUUUUGAGUUAUCAUUCGCAUCACUAAUAUGAUUGAGCUUAUCUAUUCUCUCAUACAGUUUUACCCUGGUAUUUUUCUAUUUUAUCUUAUCCAGGGGAAUGUAUGAAUAGAAGACAUCUUCCAGGAAAUUUUGUUGACAAUCCAGAAGCCUUAUUCAGAAAAACUAGAGCCAAGCUCAAGAAGAGAUCAUCAACACUUCAGCAAGAAGCUUCAUCCAAUCAAGAAGAUCACCAGAACUUGUCUUCAGAGUUCGAAGCCAUGGCGAACAAAUCAAUCCGCAAGUUCUCAGCUGUACGGACCUGCUGCAGAGAUCGACGGCAACUUUGAGCUCAAGCCUGGACUUAUCAACAUGGCGCAAUCCAACCAGUUCUGUGGGAAGGCACAUGAAGAUGCUAGUGCCCAUCUCCAACACUUCCUGGAGAUUUGCAGCACAUUCACCAUAUCAGGAGUUCCCAGAGAUGCUAUACUACUUCACCUCUUCCCAUUCUCACUGUUAGGAAGAGCGAAGCAGUGGUUCUACGCUACAAAGGAGAAGAAUACUACGUGGGCACUCUGCUCAACAAACUUCCUGGCUAAGUUCUUUCCCAUGGGCAAGACCAAUGCUCUUCGUGGGAAAAUUACAAGUUUUCAGCAACAAAAUGAUGAAUCUGUUCCAGAAGCAUGGGAGCGUUUCCAAGACUACAUCCUAGAAUGUCCCCAUCAUGGAAUGGAGAGUUGGCUAUUGAUGGAGACAUUUUAUCAUGGGCUCGGCAACCGUGCCCGAGAGACCAUGGAUGCUGCAGCUGGAGGAGCAUUUUUAUCACUUACUAUACCACAAGCCACAGCUCUUGUGGAGAAGAUGGCGUCCAACCAAGGCUGGAAUGAAGAGAGGACCCAGACACGCAAGAGAGGUGGAGGUAUGCAUCAGCUCAAGGAAGUAGACAUGCUGUCUGCAAAGCUAGACCUGCUCAUGAAGAAGCUCGACGAUAGAACUGGAGAUAAGAAGGAAGUUAUGCACAUCUACGACUCUCACAUGACUUGUGAGGAGUGUGGAGAUACUGGACACUCAGGCAAUCACUGCCCUGAGAUACUUGAGGAUGUGAACUACAUCAACAAUAACAACAACAACAACUACAACCGUCCUCAACAAAAUCAAGGUUGGAAUCAACAGAGGCCUAACUACUCAGGAUUAAAAUCUACAAAUCUUGUAGACAUGUUUGAUGCAGGUAAUUAGAGUAACCCCGUCACUGAAGUUACUACUGACCUUCUGCCGGUCAAGAAAGGUGAUCCAGGAUGCCCCGUCAUCUCGAUCUCCAUCGACAUGGUGGACUUCCCAGAAGCACUCUGUGACUUUGGCUCUAGCGUCAACAUUAUACCCAGGGUACUCUAUGAAAAAUUCUUUACAUAUCCUUUAUUAGAAACAACCAUGUGUUUGCAGUUUGUAGAUUAGACGAUAAGUUUUCCAAAAGGAAUAUUGAAGAACCUUUGUGUCCGAGUUGGUACCUUGUACGCCCCAGCGGACUUCGUGGUGAUAGAGACCGGUAAUGAUGAGAGAGCACCCAUCAUCUUAGGGAGGCCAUUCUUAAACACCUCGGGAGCUGACAUCUACGCUAGUGCUGCUAAGAUCAGUUUCUACAUCAAAGGGAGGAAGGAGAUGUUUUUCUUCAAGAACAAGACUACACAAAUCCCAGAUCAAUCCAGACGUGAAUCAAGGAAGAGGACCAAUAGGAGGAACAGGAACAAGCAAGUGUGGACCGAGUCAGCGAAGAUGGUCACUGCAGUUCAUGGAGGCCAAGAUCAUCAACUUAAGUCACCGUUUUUGACCAAGAAGGAUGACCCAGGAAUGCCAAGCAUCUAUUGCUCCAUAAAUGGAUACAACUUCUACAAGACGUUUUGCGACACCGGAUCGGGCGUCAACAUAAUGGCCGCAGUCACCUAUCGGCUCUUGUUCGGAACCAUGCCACUAAGACCAACAUACAUUCAGCUCUAGAUGGCAGAUCAGACAUUUCGAGAAGUUAAAGGAAUAGUAACUGAUGUCCCAGUCAAAAUAGAUGAUCAUUUUUUCUACACAGACUUUCAGGUUAUUGACAUGGGAGAAGAUGAGUACGAUCCACCCAUCAUCCUUGGAAGACCGUUCCUCAGCACCGUUAAAGCAAUUAUCUACAUUGGAACCGGAGAAGUCCAUAUGCACUUCCCCUCUGAGAAGGUACGACGCUAUUUUAUUGACCCUAACUAUAUCUUUGAAGAAUCUAAGCAGGUCAGGAAACAACGCAACCGCAACCAGAGGAGGCAAAUCAUCAAGGACGGAUGGGCAGACUACGAAGGAGAAGUGAUAAGAUCAGAAGACGUAGAGUUUAAACAGAAUUAUCCAGAGGAGACCGUAGCACCGAGUCAGGUAUGGAGAGAGAAGAUAACUAUACAUGAAGAAGAGGCGCCGCCGGAAGUACCGACUACAUCCGAGGACAAUCGAGAAAGAGAAGAGUCCCGUUCGAAGGACUUAAAAACACCGAAAGCCUUGCCAAGAGGUAAACUUGGUAGUUAUCCUUUCCCUUUCAAUUAUUUAAAAUUGUUUACUUAGUUAAUUAUGCUAUCUUAAAAAAAGAAAAUAAAAAUGUGAAAAAUAGUAAGCCCCAUGUGAGUAUACGAGUGGCAUAAAACCCAUAAGUACAUUCACUAUGGUGGCAUAAAUAUAAAAUAAAAAUAUUUCUUUUCUGCUUUAUAAAAUGAAAAUAUAAAAAUAGGAGUAACAAUUAUUGAGGAAGCUCAACAUGAUAAAGGCUAGAUAUUUAUGCUAACACUUAAUCAGUUCCACAAGCUUUGUUGUCUAUUUGAGUUCCACAGAAUUUAAGAAUCAAGAAGACUAGCAGACGGAGGACAUUCUAAUCGCUGUCAGAAUGCUGCUGACUUUCAAAUACACCUCUACCACCUGCUAGCUACAUCAAGAGAAAUUACGUCAAAAUUCAGCUUGGGGGAGAGCACCCCCAUUUAUCUCGCUAAGUAUUUCUAUCUAUCUUUAUACUUAUAUUAUAUUAGAAUAUAAAUAUAUAUAACUAUGAAAAACCAAAUAAAGAUUUUGUGCUUAUAUAUAUAUCUUUUGCUUAGUGUGUUUAAUAAAUAAAUAAAGUGGUUAUGCUAAUCUGAAUCUUAAUAAUAAAACUCUAGCAUGGAUAUGAUGAAUAGUUGCUCUGCCUAAUUUACACAUUUUAAGUUCUCUCUCAAGUUUAGACAUAACUGUUAUAAUUUAAAGCUUGUUCUAGACUUAAACUUGUGGGAUGAAAACUUGAUCUGAAGUCUAAGUUGUUAACGGUUAUGAUAUGGGAAGGUUGAGCUGCUGUUUAUCUAUUCCUAGAGAUGCUAGAAUUCUGGAGAAUUUUAUCUUUAAAAAUCUUUAAAAUGUUGCAUGAUGAGUUCCUGUAUGAUGAGAGUUUAAAUUACUACCACAGCCAUAUAUACAUGCUUGCUAGACUUUGAGCCACACAUUUACUAUUUACUGCUUAUGAGCAUUGAGUGUGGUCAAGCUGUGUAGACCCUUAGGAGCUUGUCAUGUGGUUAAAUCAAGAUUUCACUUGCACGUUCACUCAUAUAUGCUACUUCUACUCCGGAAGUACCAUCCACAAAUAUCCACCCAUUUCCAUCUCCAGAACCACCCAAAAAUAUUCUACUCCUAAUCCGGGAGAGAAUAACAAAAAAUAUUUCUGUUUUUCCCUUGUGAAAUAAAUGCUCAAGUUAUCUUGUUACUACCACUUGCUAUAUUAUCUCAAGAGAUGAGUGCUCUAAAAAAACGAGGAAAUAAAAAGGGGCAAGUGCCCGGAACCUCGAAAGAAAAGAAAAAGUGAGACGAGAGGUAAAAAUGGACAAGUGUUCGACAGUAGAAUUAGGGGUGCAAGAUACCCACCUGAGAGAAAAGAAAAAAAAAGAAGAGCAUCUCAUUCUCCUCAUAAAGUUUCAGAAAGCAAGGAAGGUAUGUAUCCCCUCAAAGAGAAAAAAUAGAAUUAGACUUUCACCAUUGUUACCAUCAUCACCAUAUACCAUUCAUCCGCCACACAUGCACAUCUUGAUUUGACUUAUUGAUUUGUUUCUUUGGAUCUAUGGUUUGACUAUGCAAUACAUGUCUUGUAAGUAUGUAUAUUUUAUCUCCCACCUAUGAGCUCCAGAUAUUAAAGCCUUAUUAGAGUAGGGUGAGAGAGAAGGCAAUAUCACUAUGCCUUAUACCACAAAUACCAUAUAUAUAUUGAGAGAAGGCAUAUACCAUCACUGCCUUGGUAAGGAUCCAGAAAUACUACAAAAGAGAGAUCUAAGAGAAUCAUACAAGGAAUCUCUGAGUUUUAUUUGAAAAUCUGCAAAAACUCUAGAGCUAUAGCUGAUCAAGAAUAAGAGACAUGGCACUUGACUAGACUGUUCUAUCUUUUAACUACUCAAGACAGAAGUGACGGUUACAAGUCCGAUGGUGAAAGGUAAAGUAAGUAGGUUUUAAGUCUUGAUAGUUUACUCUAACUCAGAGAUGAGACCUCAUUAAAAAGCAUGUGUACCGUCAAUUUUUAAAGAUAUUGCAACAACUUCUGAUCCAUCACUGAGUCUAUCCUUGCUCAGGGACGAGCAAGAGGUAAGCUUGGGGGAGUUUGUUGACGGUCCUUAAGUAUCAAAUUUAAUUAUCAAAUAAACAAAGAAAAGGAUCCAAAUGAAAUCAACAUCUAGACUUAGGGUUUUAUCUAACAGAAUUCCACGAGUUUUGGUGUUUGUCUAUUUCUGCAGGGGUUAUCAGGAAAUACGGAAGAAAGGCCCACACGUCGGGAUUACAUAGAGAUAUUAACGUGCCGCGCAAUUAUCUUACAUCUAGAAGACUCCAGAAGCCACGGGAAGGA